rnacentral:rRNA from 1 species
AUUGAACGCUGGCGGCAGGCCUAACACAUGCAAGUCGUGCGGAGCGGCGGACGGGUGAGUAAUGCCUAGGAAUCUGCCUGGUAGUGGGGGAUAACGUCCGGAAACGGGCGCUAAUACCGCAUACUAUCAGAUGAGCCUAGGUCGGAUUAGCUAGUGGGUGGGGUAAAGGCCUAGCAAGGCGACGAUCCGUAACUGGUCUGAGUGGAUGAUCCGUCACACUGGAACUUAGUAACGGUCCAGACUCCUACGGGAGGCUGCAGUGGGGAAUAUUGGACAAUGGGCGAAAGCCUUAUCCAGUCAUGCCGCGUGUGUGAAGAAGGGCUUCGGAUUGUAAAGCACUUUAAGUUGUGAGUCGUUACCAACAGAAUAAGCACCGGCUAACUUCGUGCCAGCAGCCGCGGUAAUUC